ensembl:miRNA
AGCUUUGAGAACUGAAUUCCAUGGGUUGUGUCAGUGUCAGACCUGUGAAAUUCAGUUCUUCAGCU